GAUGAACGCUGGCGGCGUGCCUAAUACAUGCAAGUCGAGCGAACAGACGAGGAGCUUGCUCCUCUGACGUUAGCGGCGGACGGGUGAGUAACACGUGGAUAACCUACCUAUAAGACUGGGAUAACUUCGGGAAACCGGAGCUAAUACCGGAUAAUAUAUUGAACCGCAUGGUUCAAUAGUGAAAGACGGUUUUGCUGUCACUUAUAGAUGGAUCCGCGCCGCAUUAGCUAGUUGGUAAGGUAACGGCUUACCAAGGCAACGAUGCGUAGCCGACCUGAGAGGGUGAUCGGCCACACUGGAACUGAGACACGCUCCAGACUCCUACGGGAGGCAGCAGUAGGGAAUCUUCCGCAAUGGGCGAAAGCCUGACGGAGCAACGCCGCGUGAGUGAUGAAGGUCUUCGGAUCGUAAAACUCUUUUAUUAGGGAAGAACAAAUGUGUAAGUAACUAUGCACGUCUUGACGGUACCUAAUCAGAAAGCCACGGCUAACUACGUG
rnacentral:rRNA from 1 species